rnacentral:pre_miRNA from 1 species
GGACGUCUAGAAGGCAAGAUGUCGGCAUAGACGAUGUUGUUCGAAAUUCGGCUGUGUCACAUCCAGCCAACCAAACGGCCAGA